rnacentral:rRNA from 1 species
UACGAAGGGGGCUAGCGUUGUUCGGAAUUACUGGGCGUAAAGCGCACGUAGGUUGAUUGUUAAGUCAGGGGUGAAAUCCCGGAGCUCAACUCCGGAACUGCCCUUGAUACUGGCAAUCUCGAGUCCGGAAGAGGUUAGUGGAAUUCCUAGUGUAGAGGUGAAAUGCGUAGAUAUUAGGAAGAACACCAGUGGCGAAGGCGGCUAACUGGUCCGGUACUGACACUGAGGUGCGAAAGCGUGGGGAGCAAACAGG